rnacentral:lncRNA from 1 species
ACCCCUUCUUAUCAUUCUUUCAUCUCUAAAUGUGUGCAUCAGACACAUGGAAACCAGAACACAGGUGUUGUCGCUAUUGUCUGUUCUACACCUGAGGAUGUCACAAGGGAGAUAUUUCCUGCAUUGUCCCCCUCGUGCAGGUUGGGUGAUUGAGGAGGCCCUGGGAGGCACAAUGGCAUUUCCAGGACACAGAGCUUGUAGGGAAAAAGAGGUUGGAACUCAGCUGCAUGUCCUCAAGCUGGAACCCUGGUUUCAUCUCAAGGUCCUGUGUCGGGAUCUGUGCUGGCUAUUUGUGUACAGAUCUGGAGGUGACAUGCGCAAGGAGGGUCAGCAGCCAAGAUCCCAGAGGGGUUUUUGGUGGGUGUGAUUGAAGGAAGGGGCCCAGGUAAGGGAACCUUGAGGAAGUGACGUCACUUCCUUGGAGACAGACCCCAACAGAACUUAGCACAGUGGUCUCCAGGAGCCCACAUUCUAGACGUAGCAUCCUAUCGAGCCCACGUGAGUGGCAACACUGAAGAGAAGAGGAUGUUCUCCUGUAGUCUCCCGAGUUGUGGAGGCUCUGGCUUCAGGAAAGCCAAGAAAAAGAGCCUUUUCAGUCACUAUAGGCACUGGCUUCGCCCUCACCUGCACUGCCUCUGGCCAAUUGGCAGGAGGAACACUCAGAGCUGCACACAGGAGGUGCUCGAAGAGCUGGAGGAUGGCUUUGGGUACUCCAUCUGUCUAGACAGGGGUCAGCAGCACCGCGCCACCAUCAAUCACGAGGGCUACUCUGAGCGUGAAGGUGAGUCCAGUUUCUGUCUAACCGAGGCCUACAGGAUGCAUGCCCUCCAGACAGGCAGGAUGGAGCACCUGUCAGAGUCCCCGGUACCAGCCUUCCCAGUGCUAUCUAUCUGAUGCUGGGAAGCUGGCGGGACCAAGGGCAGGAUUUCAGGGAGCCCCUGCAGUUUCCCUGUUGGAUGGUGAGGCCGGCCACUGGUCACAUCAGCUUUGGUGGCUCAGACCCGGAGGGCCAAGCCUACCAUCUGCCCGGCCACCUGGAGCCUCUCAAGGCCAUUGAUCCUGAGCAGAAAGGUGAGGGCACUGCAGUGUGGGAAGACUGUCUGUGCUGGGCUUCAUGGGCUGGAAUUUCCUUAAAGGCAGUGGAGUCUUUCCUGUCUUUGGAAAGGCACAUGAACUUUCAGGUGUGUGGGUGACACUUUCUCCUUAUCCUACUCCAGAGCCAGCUCCAAAGCUCCUGUCACUUCCAGAGCCAGAGCCAGAGCCAGAGCCAGAGGCAGCCCCUGGGCUAGAGCCAGCUCCAGCUCAAGCCCCACCACCUGUGGCAGAGCUGGAGGCAGCAUGCCCUGCAUCAGACCCUACAGGGCUGGAGGAAGGGCCACUAGCAACUUCAGCCCCAGUGCCAGCUCCUGAACAAGAGCCCACUGGACCCUGUGCUGUGACCACCGAAAACCAGCUGAGGGAGGAGAAGCCGAACCUCUUGGACUUCCCUCCCCAGCUGCUGGCAGAGCAGUUGACAAGGAUGGAGGCAGAGCUGUUCAAGAAAUUAGUGCCUGCCCACUGCCUGGGCUCCAUUUGGUCCCAGCGAGACAACAGGGACUGCGAGUAA